rnacentral:rRNA from 1 species
ACGAACGCUGGCGGCGUGCUUAACACAUGCAAGUCGAACGGAAAGGCCCUGCUUGCAGGGUACUCGAGUGGCGAACGGGUGAGUAACACGUGGGUGAUCUGCCCUGCACUUCGGGAUAAGCCUGGGAAACUGGGUCUAAUACCGGAUAGGAGCCAUUUUUAGUGUGAUGGUUGGAAAGUUUUUUCGGUGUAGGAUGAGCUCGCGGCCUAUCAGCUUGUUGGUGGGGUAAUGGCCUACCAAGGCGGCGACGGGUAGCCGGCCUGAGCGGGUGGACGGCCACAUUGGGACUGAGAUACGGCCCAGACUCCUACGGGAGGCAGAAGUGGGGAAUAUUGCACAAUGGGCGCAAGCCUGAUGCAGCGACGCCGCGUGGGGGAUGACGGCCUUCGGGUUGAAAACUCCUUUCGCUAGGGACGAAGCUUUUUGUGACGGUACCUAGAUAAGAAGCACCGGCUAACUACGUG